UUUCUGUUUAUCUUCCCUGGAAUGGGUUGCAAUAUGCCCUUGUUUUAAUUUUGUUUCUAAUUGAAAAUUUAAUCUGAAUUCUAAACUUUGAAGUAUGACUAAUCAUAAAAUAAAAAUAAAAAAUAAAAAAAAAACUUUGAAGUAUGUCAUGUUGGUCUGCUCUCUGCCUUGUAGUUCUUUUAAGAUUUUUUUUUUUCUGAUCCAGUGUGUGUCUUGUGCUUUCUGUUUUUUUUUUUUUUUACUUUUUCAGAUGAUAUUAUCUAAUUUGUUCCCCUUAAGUGAAAUUUAUCAUUAAUUACUUUUGUUCAGUUGGGGCAUGCUGGUGGUGGAAAUUGAUAAUUGCCUUGUUUUUGUUAUAUAUAUUUUUUAUUAUUAGAAUCUACUAGCAUCACUUUUUAAAUCUCUAUGGAACUUAGAUCGUAGCAGUGAAUUUCAUGUUUAAGUGGUCUAAAAGUAUUAGUCCUUUAUAUUAGUCUAGAUAGUAGAUACCAUUCUGCUUACCUGUCAUGUUUCAGCAAAGUUACAUAAAAAUUUCAAUAACCUGGUGAAGAAUUAUGUUCCUAAAGAGUUAUUCAGAUAAUUGCCUUCUGUUUAUAUUGAUUAUCAUUUUAUUUUGUUCUACUUGGCAUUUGCUUUAUUUGUUACAUGGUUACUUUUUCAGAUUAAAUAUCUCCUCUUUUACUGCAUUUACAUAUAUAGCUGAUGAAGUUCUGAAUGUGUAAGUUGCUUGAUGACCAAAAAUGUAUGGAUAAGUUGUUUUCUCUCUUUUGAUAUGAAAUAAUUCUUCCUGACAAAUUUGAUUUAUCUUUUCAUCAAGCAGGUAAUUGAAUUUUGUAUGCCAAAUAGUAAUAGCAUUUUUUAUAAUUUAUUCGUUAUUUAUAAAUUGCUUUGAUUGUUACUGAUCUUUCUUCUUCUUCUUCUUUUUCUUGUUUGUUUGUUUGUUUGUUUGGGGGGGGGGAGAUGUUACAGGUGUUUCUGGAUUCUAAGGGGCCAUUCAGUAACCGCUGAAAUUGCUGAACUAUAUUCUUUUGUAUUAGUGGAUAAAAUAAUUAAAUAAUAAAAUACUCAAGGGUAUAGUAAUCUGCCCAACUUCAGCUGUUAUCAAAUGGCUCCUAAUAGUUCUUUUCUUUUGUUCAAUAACCAAUCAUUUAACUAAUUAAAUAAAGGGGAAAAGUACAAGAUACAACCCAUCAAUAGGAAUCAGCAACUCUAUUUGCAUCUCUUUGAAUCCAUAAGAUUCUCAUUUCCAUAUUUCUUGUUAGCCAUCUGAGUUUCUUGAUUUUAUUUUGUAAGCCCAAAGAGAUGCACCAUCCUUUUGCAACCAUCCAAUCACUGUCCCUGAGUCACCUUCAAUAAUUAACUUGUUCAAUGCCCUUUGUGCUCCUUUCAAUACCGUCAUUACUUUAGCCCUUAGCCUAUACUGGUUGGUGUUGAAAACAUGCAUAAUAGAUCUGGAUAAAAGUAGUUGGAAAAUCCUCUAUAGGGGCGUGAGGAAUACUGGAGUUCCUCUUGGCAGAGUCUGGGAAAUGAUAAGAUUGGGCUAAACUAGACUUGUUUAUCAUCAACAAUCUCAUUUGGGGUCAAUUAUCUUUGACCUUGGUGCAGCAGUUGGGUUGCUCCAUUGCGACCUGGGUGACCAGGGUUCAAAUCUUGGAAACAGCCUCUCUGUAUGUGCAGGGAUACGGCUGCGUACAUCUCUCCCUCCCCAGGCCCUGCGUUGGUGGGAGCCUCGUGCACUGGGCUGCCAUUUUAUCUUUGAGGUACCGUUGGGGGAAACUUGCUUGAAUUAAAUCAAAGUUAGAAGGGGAUGUGGUACCUAUAGGGGUGUCAAUGGACCGGAUUUGGGUUGGACCCCAUCCAAAUCGCAUUUAAAUUGGACGGGUUGGAUGGUCCAUGCUUUGGCAUUAGGUUGGACUGGUCCGUAUUAUUUUGGUCCUAAGUAAUUGGUGGACCGAAACGGACGAAGUCGAUUAGUCCGCAAACCACCUGAGGAUCGAUUUUACUUCAGACUCCAACUCUCCAAGUCUCGAGCCUAGGGUUUCUCCAAGGGAACUCUCUCCAAUGGCUCUUUUUUUUUUUUUUUUUCCCGACGGUUCUCUCACCGGCGAGUCGGUGACUAUCUCCGUCAGUUUGCUUGAGCUGCAUGUACAGAGAAUAUAUUGUCUUCACUUCAGACUCCAACUCUCCAAGUCUCCAACCUAGGGUUUAUCCAAGGGAACUCUCUCCAACGGCUUUUUUUCUGAUGGUUCUCUCACCGGCAAGUCAGCGACUAUCUCUGUUAGUUUGCUUGAGUUGCAUGUGCAGAAAAUGUAUUGUCUUCACUAGCGACUAUCUCUGACAUUUUUUCUCUCCAGCAGUUUCUCUCUAACAUUUUUAUGUCCACCAGUUUUCUCUCUCCAACGGCCAUCUCUCUUCUGUAAACUGCAAUCAAUCGUUGAAAUAGGUAAUAUAUCACCCCUCAGUUGGCUUCCUUGAUGGCACAGCUCUUCUGUCUUGUAGUCUACUUUGUUAUUUGAUUCAUUUUUGAAGUGGUUGUCUAAUUGUGUUUGUGCCCAGUCUAGUGAUGUUUAAUGGUGCUUUGUCUUAGGUAGUAUCGGUCUGUUUUCUAUUUCUUUUUUUAUAGAAAAUUCAAACUUAAGAUGCCUGAUUGUUAAGUAGUGGUUGUUCCGGCCAGUUGUUUGCUAUUUCAGUUCCACCAAUUACAAACAUCUUUCACAUCUUUUGCUUUUUGAACCAAAUCAUGAGCAUCUCUGGUGAAAGACCUAGAUUUAUMUACAAAAGUAACCUUGGUCUGUUUGUUUUCUGUUGUUGUGUUGCUUUUCUUUAGUUGUAUUUAUCCUUUUUUACAAUAAAGAUAUUGCUUACCCAAAAAAAUAAAAAAAACUGGAUUGUUCAAGCUUUUCAGGCACUGAUUGGCAAUAAAAAGUAGGCAAUACAUCCAUUUUUUACAGUUGACAAACCAGAAAUAGAGAUACAUUUUUAUCUGAAUCAGAGGGUUUUCUCUUUUAGUGAGAGAUUGUAACAGAAUAAAAUUCACAGUUUUUCGUUUUAGGAAAUUUAUGGGCCAUCUUGUCAUUCCAUUGUAGGAUUGCAUCUAAAAACAUCUAGAGAUGAUUCUCAAAAUAUUGAAAGAAAAAGAUUAAGGGGGUGUUCUAUGUGAAUUAUUUUUUAUGUGAGUUCCAAAAACAAAUGACAACCAUCUGGUUUGAAAAUAGAUUGGGUGUGCAUGUGUUGUUUCCAAAAUUGAAAGAUGAAGGGGGUGUUCUAUGUGAAUUAUUUUUCAUGUGGAUUAUACUAGUCCAAUCCAGUCCAGGUUGAAUAGUCCAAUAAGAUUGGAUUGGAUUGGGCCAGUCCAAUAAGACUAGCUGAAUGUAAGGAUUAUUAUCUGGCUGGAUGUGUAGUGAUGGAAGGUGGUGGUACUGUGUGGGUUCCUAAAUUUUGCAAGUCUUCUUUGAUUGGGAGCUGGGCUUUGUUUGUGAGGUUUUGCAGGUCUUAAAAGAUAGACCAGUCAAGGAGGGUCAGCUAGAUAUGUGGGGCUAGAAGUGGAACACGAGUGGAGAGUUUUCAGUUAUUGUUCAGUGGUCAUUCUAGAAUUGCAACAGUAAUAUACUUUUUAAUUUACUGCUUUUUUUUCAGAUAACAUGAUUGAUUAGUUUUAGUGAACUAUCCAUUGCAUUCUUAGGAAUUUUGCCUUGUUAAUUGCUCUGUUUCUUUGAAUGUGUCUUAAAUGUUGUCAUACUCACUCUAGUUAUUCUUAAUUUCACUAAAACAGGGAAUUAAAAACUAAAAUUCAGUUGUUUUCUAAAUCCCAUUUCUUGUAUUUUUAUAUAAGAAGAAUUUAUAGAUGAAUUACUAAUCAUAUAAAAAAGGGCUACUAAUUGGUAAGAUCCUUAUUAAAGAUCUUUUUAGACUAUUAGAAAAUUCUUAAUAUAAAUCCUUCUUUGUCCUCUGCCUCCAACACCUACCUCCUGUGCUAUGAUAUUUUUACUCCAGAGCCAAAAGGGAUACCAAAUAGAAGAUGUGUUCCAUUAAAGAUUGCAUGUUCUAUUCUGUCUAAUUCAUAUUGUUGUCUUUGGCUUUAAUCGUUUCUGCAACACCCUCAUAGUUCAAAUGUUUCUGAUUCCCAAAACCAUUGAUAGAAGUAGCACACAUGAACCACUUACUACUCAGAGAGUCAUAGAUGAGCAUCUCACCUACCUAGUCCAUCAUCUGUCAUGUGAUUCUGUGACAACAAUAACAUGGUUGGGUUGCUGUCCUGUGACAGCAAUAUCUUUGGGGUUAACAAAGAAAAGAUAAAAUAAGGCAGAGCUUCUAGUCAAAACAGUGUUCUCAGACUUGGACUGCACAGAAAAUCAGACCAGAAUGCUGAUGGAGUGAUGGGUCAUGGAGCUCAUGGAUUGGUUAACUAGUAACCAGGUCAAAAUUCAAGGUUCCUGACAUAGAUCAUGGAGGAGAUUCUACUAACUUAUUUGAACUGUGCAAGUUGGAUUGAAUCAAAUGGUUAUUAGAUGUGAGUGUUGGUUGUUUCUUGUAACUUUGUGGUUUAAUUGGCUGAUAGAGUAGUCAAUGCAAAGUUCAUUUUCAAAUGGUAAAACAUAUUGUUUGAAGUUGGGUAGCUUGAGCAUCAUGUCCAUAGCCGUUUUCCACUGAUUAAUUAAUUCUUUCACUUUCUAUACAUUUGUUUUACAGGAAUUGCAGAACUCAGAGUGAUGAUGAUGACAACAUUUUUUUGGGUAGUUGUUUCCUCCAAGUAAACUGUGUUUGGAGACUUGGGACUGAUGAUGAUGAUUUGUUGUAACACAAAUCUUAGGACUAUGGUUUCUCAGAGAAUCGGCAAAUUUCAGGAGAAAAGCAUUUGGGGUGUGUCCAUACACCCACACAGAGUGCUCACAUUAUUUGGGGUGUUCAUCAUGGGGAGUGUACCUGGCUAGUGGCUCCUCAAGAAGCAGGAAAUAGAAAGAAGAAUCUGUUUGGAUUCAAUUGAUAAGUAAUAACCUGCAUAAGAACAGUAUGCAGUAGUUCUUGUGUAUUCUUUGGUUAAGAACUUGUCAAGAUGGUUGGAAUUUGGUUCAUCUUUUGUUUGUUUGUUUUUUUUUUUUUUUUUUUUUAAUGUGUGUUAGUAUUGAAGAAUUAAAUUCUAAAAGAUUAUAUUAACAAACUCUUAAUAUGGAA